ACGGGAGGCAGCAGCUAAGAAUAUUCCGCAAUGGAGGAAACUCUGACGGAGCGACGCCGCGUGGGCGAUGAAGGCCGGAAGGUUGUAAAGCCCUUUUAUGACAGAGGAAUAAGGACGGGAGGGAAUGCCCGUCCGGUGACUGUAGGUCAUGAAUAAGCACCGGCUAAUUACGUGCCAGCAGCCGCGGUAACACGUAAGGUGCAAGCGUUGUUCGGAAUCAUUGGGCGUAAAGGGCAUGUAGGCGGUCUGUCAAGCCAGGCGUGAAAGCCAGGGGCUCAACCCCUGAACUGCGCUUGGAACUGGCGGACUGGAGUCGCUGAGGGGGAACCGGAAUUCCUGGUGUAGGGGUGAAAUCUGUAGAUAUCAGGAAGAACACCGAUGGCGAAGGCAGGUUUCCAGCAGACGACUGACGCUGAGGUGCGAAGGUGCGGGGAGCAAACAGGAUUAGAUACCCUGGUA
rnacentral:rRNA from 1 species